rnacentral:rRNA from 1 species
UUGAACGCUGGCGGCAUGCCUUACACAUGCAAGUCGAACGGUAACGGGCCUUCGGGUGCCGACGAGUGGCGAACGGGUGAGUAAUACAUCGGAACGUGCCCGAUCGUGGGGGAUAACGAGGCGAAAGCUUUGCUAAUACCGCAUACGAUCUACGGAUGAAAGCAGGGGUCCGCAAGGCCUUGCGCGGACGGAGCGGCCGAUGGCAGAUUAGGUAGUUGGUGAGAUAAAAGCUUACCAAGCCGACGAUCUGUAGCUGGUCUGAGAGGAUGAUCAGCCACACUGGGACUGAGACACGGCCCAGACUCCUACGGGAGGCAGCAGUGGGGAAUUUUGGACAAUGGGCGCAAGCCUGAUCCAGCCAUGCCGCGUGCAGGAUGAAGGCCUUCGGGUUGUAAACUGCUUUUGUACGGAACGAAAAGCCUUCUUUUAAUACAGGAGGGUCAUGACGGUACCGUAAGAAUAAGCACCGGCUAACUACGUG